rnacentral:ncRNA from 13 species
AUAUGACAAAAUAUUAAAAGUGCCAUAAGUAAUCAACUGUGGAUAAUAGGGAAAUCAGUUAAAAUCUGAUGCAGCCCCCGCUACUGUAAGUGUCGAUGAACAUGUAAAACCACUAGAUUUUUUCUAGGAAGGGACAUAAGUAAGUUUGAGACACAAGCCAGGAGACCUGCUUUUAAUAUAUGAAUCCAA